AUGAAGCUGCUGCCAGUCUUGGAGCCUGGAUACAAGCCCAAGAAAGCAACAUGGUAUGCCUUGACCAUACCCCCCAACCCCUGCCCCCGAGAUAGCUCCUGUGCUCGGGUUGGCCCACGGUUGCUCAUAUUCACCCCCAGCUGGUGAUGCCAAGAGAGGGAAGGUCUUCAUUGUUGUGGGGGCAGAUCCAAGCAAGAGCUUCUCAGAUGGGCACACCACAGUUCUGAAUCCUGAAACUAGGACUUUGGACCAUGCCAGAGGUGAGCACCCCCCACCACCCCUAAGAACAUUCCAUACAUCAUCUGCAGCCAUUAGAAACCAGUUGUAUGUCUUUGUGGGUGGAGAGAGAGGUGCCCAGCCCAUCCAGGGUGUGAAGCUGCAUGUGUUUGACACAGACUCUCUGACCUGGUCACAGACAGACACACUUGGAAAACCUCCAUCCCUCUGGCAUGGUCAUGUGAUGGCGUCAGCAGGGGACAAAGCUCUUCAUCCAUGGAGGCUUAGCAGGGGACAAAUUCUAUGAUAAUGUCCAUUGCACUGAUAAAAAUGACAUGAAGUGGCAGAAGCUAAGUCCCACCGGGGCACCUCCCAUAGACUAUGCUGCGCACUCAGCUGAGGUUGUGGGGAAACACCUGUACAUCUUUGGAGGGGUGACUCCCCCCCAGAAGCACUGGAUACAAUGUACUACUAUCACAUAGAAAAGCACCCAUUAGAUGGAUCUUGCUUAAAUUUGAAAAUUUUCUACCACCUGGAUGUUCCAAUCAUUCUAUGUGUGUCAUUCCAUAGUCAGUGAUAUGUACUUCUGAGAAAGAAGAUUCAAAUUCAGUCACUCUGGCUCAAGGUGGUGACUCUCAUGAAGAAAGUCAGACUGACACACUGCUCUGUUUUGCAUUUGGUGGGAUGAAUACAGAAGGGGAAAUCUAUAGUGAUUGUAUUGUGACUGUGGGUUGACUAAUAAAUCGCAUAUUUUUACUAAAUGACAAA